UAGUAUAAAUGCCUUAAAGAUGCGGGGUUAAGAGGAAAGGAAGAAGAAAGAAAGAAGUUUGAAAAGUUUUUGCACUGGUGUUCGGCACACGAUCCAUAAUGCAAAACCCACAAAAUCAACAAAAGGUCCAGAGAAGAACUACAAAAGGAGAGAAAGCGGAAAAAAGUUGAUGAGAGGGCAAAAUGUGAGACUCUGUGUGCUGAUGACCACACCUAUGCCAAAGGAGCCGAGG